rfam:Microcebus murinus cont1.85241, whole genome shotgun sequence.
UAAGCCCUGCUCAGAAGUCAAGAGCAGCAGCGCUGCCGCUCUGCGCGGCCUUUCAUGCCUUCGACUCUCCUUAUUCUUGCGCCUCGGCCUCUCCGGGCGCCCUCGGACAAAACCCCCAGAGCCCGGCCGCUCCCUUCCGGCUAAAUCCCCUUCGGGGUCAGUGAGCUACCAGCACCCGGGCGCGCGCCUCUCCUGCCAGCCGUGUGGCUCUUAAAGAGCCGCACCCCCCCCCUCCGCCCUGCGCGCUCCCUUGACCCCCGCCUCCCCGCCCCUCUCCUCCUGAUCUAGCCCCCCACGCCGACGCCUGAGGUCCCUGCUGCCCCGAC